CUGCACAGAAGGACCAAAGCAGAAAAGGAUGUCUUUGGACAUCUGUGGUUGUGGCUUUUGUUUCAUAAAAUGAACCUGGACAGCAGUCAAAAAAAAAGCCCUUCAAAUUUUUAAGAGAACCCAUCUAGCAGAAGUACUGCCAGCAUGGCCAGAAGGUUGAGAGAUGGUACAAAACAGAAACGAUCCCUUGGGCCUCUAGCAUUUUAUAGGCAAGAAGGUUAAGAAGUCCAUCUCAUUUUGCUCUUGGAAAUGGAAGGAUGAUCCAGAGGACAAAACAAAGAGCAAGGGAAAACAACUUCCAAGAGUACACAGGUAUUCAAUGGAGAGGAAUUGCACUCAAGGAGAUGCACCUGAGAAACUUCACUCAAGUGGCCUUGUGUACACCCACACCCGAUUUAGAUGAUGCAAUCUUGGAUCUUGAGCCUGAUACUGUAAAGGGAAGAGGCUUUUGAUGAGAAAUCUUGGACUGAUCGCCUGAUGCAGGUGAACUUCCCCCUCAAGCUCUGCCAGAGAUCCCACACAGCACCUGAGAUGGGUGUGACCUGCCAAGAUGUCAAUCAACCUGCUGACUUCAAGAUACCAGGAAGCAAGACUCCGCCCUUGAAACCUUAUCCCUGCCUUUGAUGUCCCCUGAUAUAAAUAAAGCAAGCUUGGGCUCCAUUUUG